GACGAACGCUGGCGGCGUGCCUAAUACAUGCAAGUAGAACGCUGAAGGAGGAGCUUGCUUCUCUGGAUGAGUUGCGAACGGGUGAGUAACGCGUAGGUAACCUGCCUUGUAGCGGGGGAUAACUAUUGGAAACGAUAGCUAAUACCGCAUAAUAGUAGAUGUUGCAUGACAUUUUCUUAAAAGUUUCAAUUGCAUCACUACCAGAUGGCCCUGCGUUGUAUUAGCUAGUUGGUGGGGUAACGGCUCACCAAGGCGACGAUACAUAGCCGACCUGAGAGGGUGAUCGGCCACACUGGGACGGGGACACGGCCCAGACUCCUACGGGAGGCAGCAGUAGGGAAUCUUCGGCAAUGGACGGAAGUCUGACCGAGUAACGCCGCGUGAGUGAAGAAGGGUUUCGGAUCGUAAAGAUCGGUUGUAAGAGAAGAACGAGUGUGAGAGUGGAAAGUUCACACUGUGACGGUAUCUUAACAGAAAGGGACGGCUAACUACGUG
rnacentral:rRNA from 1 species